UCUACAUAUCAAUAAGCGGAGGAAAAGAAACUAACAAGGAUUCCCCUAGUAACUGCGAGUGAAGCGGGAAAAGCUCAAAUUUAAAAUCUGGCGGUCUUCGGCCGUCCGAGUUGUAAUCUGGAGAAGCGUCUUCCGCGCUGGACCGUGUACAAGUCUCUUGGAACAGAGCGUCGUAGAGGGUGAGAAUCCCGUCUUUGACACGGACUACCAGUGCUUUGUGAUGCGCUCUCGAUGAGUCGAGUUGUUUGGGAAUGCAGCUCAAAAUGGGUGGUAAAUUCCAUCUAAAGCUAAAUAUUGGCGAGAGACCGAUAGCGAACAAGUACCGUGAGGGAAAGAUGAAAAGCACUUUGGAAAGAGAGUUAAACAGUACGUGAAAUUGCUGAAAGGGAAACGCUUGAAGUCAGUCGCGUUUGCUAGAACUCAGCCUUGCUUCUGUGAGGUGCAUUUUCUAGUGAACGGGCCAGCAUCAGUUUUGGCUGCCGGACAAAGGCCUCGGGAAUGUGGCACCUUCGGGUGUGUUAUAGCCCUUGGUCGUAUACGGUGGCUGGGACUGAGGAUCUCAGCACGCCUUCAUGGCGGGGGUUCGCCCACCUUCGUGCUUAGGAUGCUGGCGUAAUGGCUUUAAACGACCCGUCUUGAAACACGGACCAAGGAGUCUAACAUGCCUGCGAGUGUUUGGGUGGAAAACCCGAGCGCGUAAUGAAAGUGAAAGUUGGGACUUCUGUCGUGGAAGGCACCGACGCCCGGACCAGACCUUCUGUGACGGAUCCGCGGUAGAGCAUGUAUGUUGGGACCCGAAAGAUGGUGAACUAUGCCUGAAUAGGGUGAAGCCAGAGGAAACUCUGGUGGAGGCUCGUAGCGAUUCUGACGUGCAAAUCGAUCGUCAAAUUUGGGUAUAGGGGCGAAAGACUAAUCGAACCAUCUAGUAGCUGGUUCCUGCCGA
rnacentral:rRNA from 1 species